ensembl:lncRNA
CUUAUGACUUGUCAAUUGCAAUGGUGUGUACUGAGAACAGGCGGUUUCCAGAUGACUUGCAGACAUGUGAGGUUACAAAAGGCUAUAAAAAGCACUCAUUUGAAAACAAAAAAGGCAUUUUAUGAGCUGCAGCAGCACAAAAAAAAAUCUAUGCUUCAGAGUGGAUCAUGAUUGGACGUUGAAAUCGUGUUCAGAGGCGUCUUCCUUGUGUCUUAUGCUCACUGAUUGUUGCAUCGCAGGACACUCAGUCUUGGUGUUGACUUGCAGGUCGUGCUGUUCCCAUUUUUAAAACUCAACAUGAGUAACCUCGAUGGCGAGCUCACUCAGAGGGAGCAGCAGUUACUGAAAAUCCGGCGCGACAGCGACACCAAGGCAGCCGAGCUUGUCAAGAUGGAGAAGAUGCUGCAGCAGACCAAGAACCUUUUGGACAAGAAGACGGAGAGCGGUUCAGAGAGCCAGGACUUCCAGGAGAACAUGGAAGACCUGGAGGAAAGAGUAAGAUCCAGCAGACGGCAAAGGAGGAACUCCCUCCAUCACACACAGAUGCUGGAGAGCCAGAUGAAGACUGUGAAGGGCGAGUUGGUGGGCACGCUGGACCACCUCCAGGAGCUGAGGAACGUCUUGCGCCGCUCGCAGCAGAAAGCGGAAGAGCGCAAAGCCACCAUGGAGAAGCUGGCGGCGGGGCUCAGGUGAAGCGCGGCGAGACGAGGCUUUGGCCUUUUUGCACGCUGACGCCGGGCAGAGAUGACAUCAAACACCCGUAGGCCACUGAACGCGAGGGAAGAGACGUGAGCUGCUGCGGUGAGGCCAUUGUUUGGCAUCCAACGUUCAGACUUUGGUCGUGCUCUCUCACAAACGUCUGAGGUGGCUUCUUCAUCCUUUUAUCCUCCCUUUAUUGUCCUGUUAUUAUUAAUACAAUAUUUUGAAGGCUAAAUGUCGAAACGCUUUUGAUGUCCUCAGUUUUAAAAUACAAUCAAAUACACAUCAUUUUUUUCUUCUUCAAGUCUGAAAUAUGCAGCUUUAGAAGCAACAUAUACUCUGAGCAGCUGUCAUGAUCAUUUGUGUUUUUCUGGCUUAGCAUGUCCAUUCGUUUAUGACAGGAAAGAGAUAACAUAGAUCCCCUCCACGUUAUUGACGCACUUUUAAUGAAUUCCUCCCUGCCAAUAAUAACAUGUGUGUUGUUUUUUGUAAUCUAAAUCUUCUCCUGGCCCAUGCAUGCACAUGUUAAAAAUAGCAACAUAAAUGCCCAUUUGUGUGGGCGUAAGUGGGGAGUAAAAUGUGUCUUUUAAAUGAACUCUUUUACAAUGUAUCGUCGGGAGUGCACAAAUAAACAAUCCUGACCAUUAAAUGGUGGAGGAAAACACUCAGUGUUUCGACUCGCUCCGGGGUCAUUGGCUUUUGUCUGUUUCCUGCGGUGAGUCAGCUGAAAAGUGUGUUUGUUCCUUCCCUGUGGCUGAGCUGUGAUCACAUACAUCUUGUUAAGCACCGCUUGAUUCACACAGCCUGACAUCAUGUGAGACUUUUCUUCACAGACCCUGACCCGUAGCUGUAAUUAUAACACCAUGUCAAGGGGAAGACUGCUCAUUACCCACAGCCGAGGGCGUAAAAAUAGACACCCUCACUUUCAAGUCUCUCACAAGGGACUCAUUCUGCCAACUCCUAAGGACACUGGGGGGUUUACAGGGGUUUUGGUGUAUGAGACGCAUCUCUGUCAGGUUUCCUUUGUGUGCUUAUUCUUCAUUGACCAACAAUAAACAAAAGAUGCAAUUAAAGGAGUGAUAUACAACCAUGCAAUGACUAUUUCUGGGUACAUGCUGAUUUUAUAUCAAUGUCAAAACCCAUUUUAUUAUGAGACAAUGUGAUGGUGUGUGUGCUUCAACAUAGAAGUUCACUAGCGAGCGAC